rnacentral:rRNA from 1 species
GAGUAACACGUUGGAACCUGCCCCAAAGUGAGGAUAAGCACCGAAAGUGGUCUAAUACUUCAUAAUAUCCAUCUCGUAUGGAUUAAAGCUUUAUGCGCUUUGGGAGGGCCUGCGUAACAUUAGCUUGUUGGUGAGGUAAAAGCUCACCAAGGCUUCGAUGUUUAACUGGUUUGAGAGGAUGACCAGUCUCACUGGGACUGAGAUACGGCCCAGACUCCUACGGGAGGCAGCAGUAAGGAAUCUUCCACAAUGGGGCAACCCUGAUGGAGCAAUACCGUGUGCAGGAUGAAGCGUUUCGGCGUGUAAACUGCUUUUAUCACCGAAGAUUAUGACUGUAGGUGAAGAAUAAGGACCGGCUAACUACGUG